UUUGCCAUGAUGAGCUGUUAACAUGUAAGAAGGACUCUGAUAUGGGGUCGCUUCUGUGAAAUACGCUUGUUACGCUUGGCUUCUGAGCUAU
rfam:Jatropha curcas cultivar GZQX0401 scaffold84_99, whole genome shotgun sequence.